ANGGUUCCGUAGGUGAACCUGCGUAAGUAUCAUUAUCGAAUAAAC
rnacentral:rRNA from 1 species